rnacentral:sRNA from 1 species
CUCCUCUCUUACCUGCACCCCUGGGCCCGCACGUGGCGAGCGGCCACCCCGGCUUGGCCUGCCGACCCCGGGAGUGCCAGUUUGACAAGUAUGCGCCCAAGCUGGACAGCCCCUACUUCCGACAUUCCAGCGUGAGUUUCUUCCCGUCCUUCCCUCCUGCCAUCCCGGGACUGCCCACCCUGCUCCCACACCCCGGCACCUUCGG